GACGAACGCUGGCGGCGUGCUUAACACAUGCAAGUCGAACGGAAAGGCCCUGCUUGCAGGGUACUCGAGUGGCGAACGGGUGAGUAACACGUGGGUGAUCUGCCCUGCACUUCGGGAUAAGCCUGGUAAACUGGGUCUAAUACCGGAUAGGAGCCAUUUUUAGUGUGGUGGUUGGAAAGUUUUUUCGGUGUAGGAUGAGCUCGCGGCCUAUCAGCUUGUUGGUGGGGUAAUGGCCUACCAAGGCGGCGACGGGUAGCCGGCCUGAGAGGGUGGACGGCCACAUUGGGACUGAGAUACGGCCCAGACUCCUACGGGAGGCAGCAGUGGGGAAUAUUGCACAAUGGGCGCAAGCCUGAUGCAGCGACGCCGCGUGGGGGAUGACGGCCUUCGGGUUGUAAACUCCUUUCGCUAGGGACGAAGCUUUUUGUGACGGUACCGAGAUAAGAAGCACCGGCUAACUACGU
rnacentral:rRNA from 1 species